UUGAUAAAUAGGCUUGAACAAGAGCAUUAUAGGCACAGUAUUACUAUCUAUUGGUAUAAUCGUGAGCUUCCAUAAUUAUUUGAAGAGAAUGGCUAUUGUACUAUUCAUCAGCUUUGCUCUACUAGCUACACAAGUCACAGCUCAAGCAGCAGAUUGCAUUAACAGCACACUCAGACUACCAAUGGAGACAGAUAUUGGUGUUUCUAUCAAAGGGCUUCCUGAGUAUUGCUAUAGUGGAGUAUGGAGGAGGAUAUGCAUGGUUAAUGGAGAAAUGAGGGCAGAAGCAGAAAGAAAGCAAAAACAAGCAUGCAAACAAUUAGGAUACAGCACUAAAAGUGCAUCACUUUUACCAGGACUGCAGCUGGGUACAGAUGAAGAACCAUUUGUAACAAUUGGGAACUGCAGUAUUAAUGCAAAGAGCUUACAAGAAUGUGAAGUGAGAGAGACUACUGACUGUACAAUGCGAGAGCAGCUCAGAUGCAACAGAGCUACCUGCCCAAGUGAACGAGUAAGACUAGUGGGUGGAUCUACUGAGCAUUAAGGUCUAGUGGAGGUGUGCUCUGAUGGACGCUGGGGAACACUGCAUGCUAGAAAUCCAACUGAAAUUGCAAGGGAAGUUUGCAGAAGACUCGUGAAUGGCGAGGAUGAAGCCAAUUUUUCUAGUGUUACAUCAAUUUCUUCCAAGCCUGCCUACAACUGUUCAAUUCUUAGGGGAACACUAACCUGUGAAGAAUCUACUUACGACAAUCAUCAUUUUCAUCUAAACGUUUCAUGUCCAAUUUCUAAUA